rnacentral:lncRNA from 1 species
UAUAGACAAGAGCAAUUGUGUAACUCUCUCAUCUUAAAUAAAGCUCUUUUCACAAUGGCAUCAACUAAUAUGAAUUUUAGAAAUGCACAGAGAAGUCAAAGUAUGUUUUCCAUUACAUUUCUGUGACUAAAUUCCAAUAUCUUCAAAACUGAUGAAAAAAUAUUUUCCUUAAAUUUUGAAAGUCAGUUCUCUUCUAAACUAAACUCAUAGAUGAGGAAUUCUGUGGGCAUCCUCUAUACUCCAGAAAUUAGAGUCUAAUGCUAACAUUUUUUUCUUCCAGGAAACUACCCCAUUAUCCUGAAAAAUUGGCACUAUCACCCAAAAUUAUCUUUUCCACUGUAACAACCAGUCUGUAUAGCUCAACUCCCUCUCUCCCUACUAGAAAAACACAUGUGAUUAUAUUGAUCUCACCCAUAUAUUUCAGAAGUUCCAUAGCAUCUCAUAUUCAUAACUUAAAUAUAUCCGAUGUAUCCUUUUCGCUUGACAAUUUCAGUUAAAAAGUUCUAGAGCCUAGUUUUAGAUAGUUAUGAGAAAGUUCAGUGACAUUCAUUAUUCCUGAACUGUUAGCUACUAUUCUCUCUUUAAAAUGCUAUCUUUAUUAAAUCUCAAAAAACUCUGAGGAACUAUUAUUUAAUGAACAGAGUAGGAAUACACACAAAUCUCAAGGUGUAUUUACUCAAUAAGUAUUAGUUAGAGUUUUCUUUUUCUUUUUUUAAAAUAUUUUUAUUAGGUAUUUUCCUCAUUUACAUUUCCAAUGCUAUCCCAAAAGUCCCCCAUACCCUCCCCCUCACGCCCCUACCCACCCACUCCCACAUUUUGGCCCUGGCAUUCCCCUGUACUGGGGCAUAUAAAGUUUGCAAGUCCAAUGGGCCUCUCUUUGCAGUGAUGGCCGACUAGACCAUCUUUUGAUAUAAAUGCAGCUAGAGUCGAGCUCCGGGGUACUGGUAAGUUCAUAAUGUUGUUCCACCUAUAGGGUUGCAGAUCCCUUUAGCUCCUUGGGUACUUUCUCUUUACUAAGAAGUUUUUGAAUGCUUUUAGAAGGAUUUUAGAAUGCUUGCUAGUGUACAAUCAACACAUACUUUCAGAGGAAGCUAUAAUCCAAAGCUAAAACUAUUUAUUACUUCAUGCAAUCUAACCCCCUGAUUUUAUAGAUUUUUAUAAAAGUUGAAAAUUUCUGGAAUUCCCUUCAUAUUUGCACUUAUCAUAAAAGGAGUUGCAGUAUGAAUUUAGU